rnacentral:rRNA from 1 species
AGGACGAACGCUGGCGGCGUGCUUAACACAUGCAAGUCGAGCGGAAAGGCCCUUCGGGGUACUCGAGCGGCGAACGGGUGAGUAACACGUGAGCAACCUGCCCUUAGCUCUGGGAUGGCUCCGGGAAACCGGAAUUAAUACCGGAUAUUACACCGGCUGGCAUCGGCUGGUGUGGAAAGAUUUAUCGGCUAAGGAUGGACUCGCGGCCUAUCAGCUUGUUGGUGGGGUAGAAGCCUACCAAGGCGACGACGGGUA